GGACAACGUAUGAACCUUGAAGAUGCCUCUUCUAGUCCAGUUUAGGGUCCAAUGCAGACAGUUCCAUACUGUCAUCCCCAAGCCCCUCAAGGGCCUUUGCCAAUCUUUCAUUUUAUGCCAAGUCCUCUAAAACGCAUCAGGGUAUUACAUCAACUUGUACAGAAUAUCAAGAUCUUAUCUUCUAUUUUAGGUUCCAUGUCAAAUAAAGCUGAGUUAGGUUGUCCAAACAAACUCACCAGACAGGUUACAUAAGAUAGUGUACCACAACAAAUUUAAAUUUUGAACAAAACACAUCUCUCCUCCUUUGGUCUCACACAGAAAUUAAAGUCUCCAAAUACAGACAAUACUAUCCAUUCUCCAGCUCUUCUCCAGAUUCACGAGUCCCAGCCAGGUCGGCCCAUCCACACUCCCCG
rnacentral:lncRNA from 1 species